AUUCUUCUUUUAGGGGUGAUUCCAUGAUCACGAAGAUGGUUUCCCCAGGGUGAGACUUAUCCAUUGCACACUGCCCCUGUGAUUUCCCGAAAUGUGGGAAACUUGACUGCAUAAUUUGUAGUAGAGUGGGACCCUAUUUGUGCUCUCCCCUG
ensembl:snRNA U1 U1 spliceosomal RNA